rnacentral:rRNA from 1 species
CAUCGGCAAGCUUAACCGGAAUAAGGGGAGGCGUAGCGAAAGCGAGUCUUAAUAGGGCGAAAUAGUCGGUGGGUGUAGACCCGAAACCGGAUGAUCUAUCCAUGGCCAGGGUGAAGGUUGGGUAAAACCAACUGGAGGCCCGAACCCACUAAUGUUGCAAAAUUAGGGGAUGAGCUGUGGAUAGGAGUGAAAGGCUAAUCAAAUCCGGAGAUAGCUGGUUCUCCCCGAAAUCUAUUGAGGUAGAGCCUUGUGUGAUGAGUGUUGGGGGUAGAGCACUGUUAUGGUUGUGGGGGUCAUUGCGACUUACUGCGCCAUAGUAAACUCCGAAUACCAACAAGAUCUAACACAGGAGACAGUCUUAGGGUGCUAACGUCCUAGGACGAGAGGGAAACAACCCAGACCGUCGGCUAAGGUCCCAAAGUAUAGUUAAGUGGUAAACGAGGUGGGAAGGUUUAGACAGCCAGGAGGUUGGCUUAGAAGCAGCCAUCCUUUAAAGAAAGCGUAAUAGCUCACUGGUCGAGUCUUCCUGCGCGGAAGAUGUAACGGGGCUAAAACUAUAUGCCGAAGCUGCGGAUUUGCAAUUUAUUGCAAGUGGUAGGGGAGCGUUCUGUAAGCCGAUGAAGGUGUAUUGAGAAGUAUGCUGGAGGUAUCAGAAGUGCGAAUGCUGACGUGAGUAACGACAAUGCGAGUGAAAAACUCGCACGCUGAAAGACCAAGGGUUCCAGUCCAACGUUAAUCGGGGCUGGGUGAGUCGACCCCUAAGGCGAGGCCGAGAGGCGUAGUCGAUGGGAAAUUGGUUAAUAUUCCAAUACUUCUAUGUAAUGCGAUGAGAGGACGGAGAAGGUUAAGUCAGCCUGGCGUUGGUUGUCCAGGUGGAAGGUUGUAGGCAUGUAUCUUAGGCAAAUCCGGGGUACUCUAUGCUGAGAACUGAUAGCAAGCUGUACUUGUACAGUGAAGUGGCUGAUACCAUGCUUCCAGGAAAAGUCUCUAAGCUUCAGUUACACAGGAAUCGUACCCGAAACCGACACAGGUGGUCAGGUCGAGUAGACCAAAGCGCUUGAGAGAACUCUGCUGAAGGAACUAGGCAAAAUGGUACCGUAACUUCGGGAGAAGGUACGCUGUUGUCUGUGAUAGGACUUGCUCCUUGAGCGGGCGACAGCCUCAGAAACCAGGCCCCUGCAACUGUUUAUUAAAAACAUAGCACUCUGCAAACACGAAAGUGGACGUAUAGGGUGUGAUGCCUGCCCGGUGCUGGAAGGUUAAUUGAUGGGGUUAGCGUAAGCGAAGCUCUUGAUCGAAGCCCCAGUAAACGGCGGCCGUAACAAUAACGGUCCUAAGGUAGCGAAAUUCCUUGUCGGGUAAGUUCCGACCUGCACGAAUGGCAUAAUGAUGGGGGCGCUGUCUCCAGCAGAGACUCAGUGAAAUCGAAUUCGCCGUGAAGAUGCGGUGUACCCGCGGCUAGACGGAAAGACCCCGUGAACCUUUACUGCAGCUUGACAUUGAACUUUGAUCUUACUUGUGUAGGAUAGGUGGGAGGCUUUGAAGCAGGCACGCCAGUGUCUGUGG